GAUGAAGAACGCAGCGAAAUGCGAUACGUAAUGUGAAUUGCAGACCGUGAAUCAUCUAAUCUUUGAACGCAUAUUGCGCUCCCUGGUAUUCCGGGGAGCAUGCCUGUUUGAGAAUCGAUAAACAACAUCAGUCCUUGCGGCUGGAAUUGGACGUCAAUACGUUGAUGUCUGGAAAUUAGUGUUGACCUUGACGCUAUAGUCUUGUAGGAACGUGUUUACUUGACUCUGGUCAAACUCUACAUCUUACUUGAUAUUAAAUAUAGUUAAUUGGGUGAUCUCACAACAAACUUUGGUUUGACCUCACACUUUACAGUGUUAAACUUGGUCUCAAAUCAGGCAAGAGUACCCGCUGAACUUAAGCAUAUCAAUAAGCGGAGGA
rnacentral:misc_RNA from 1 species